rnacentral:rRNA from 1 species
GACAGGGGAUGCAAGCGUUAUCCGGAAUGAUUGGGCGUAAAGCGUCUGUAGGUGGCUUUUUAAGUCUGCCGUCAAAUCCCAGGGCUCAACCCUGGCCAGGCGGUGGAGACUACUAAGCUGGAGUACGGUAGGGGCAGAGGGAAUUUCCGGUGUAGCGGUGAAAUGCGUAGAGCUCGGGAAGAACAUCGGUGGCGAAAGCGCUCUGCUGGACUGCAACUGACACUCAGGGACGAAAGCUAGGGGAGCGAAUGGG